AGGCAAAUAUAGUUGUAAAACUCGCACAUAGCACUAUUAAAAUCUAUAAAUAUGUUGUGUUAUUGUUACAGUUGUUUUUGUAGUUGUUGUUACAAACAUAAUUGUUUUUAUUUAUUUCAUUCGUUUAUGUUGUGAUUUUUGUGUUUUAACAAUCUUUCUUAUCAUUUUUGAUACAGCACUUGUGUUCUGUUUUAGCCGACAUGUAAAGCGCUUUGAGAUACUGCGGUAUUGAAAAGGCGAUAUAAAUCAAAUACAAUUAAAAUGUAAACUAUGCAUUGUGAUGUCUUUCAAGACCUAAUUGGUGAACAAUAUGUCGCCGUUAUCGUAAAAUAAUGUUAACUUAUGUGACUUUGCCAAUAGUAAGAGAACAAACACUUUCUAGUGUUUGACUUUCCAAGCACGUCGAAAGUAGACAGUGACGUGCAUUCCACGUUGCUAUAGAGGUUCCCAUGGUUACAAGUACACAAUCAAGAUGUCUGCCUUUAUGAACUGGAGCUGUGAGGACGUCUCUAAAUGGAUAGAAUCUUUAGGAUAUCAACAGUAUACGGCAUGUUUCACAGAAAACUAUAUCAAUGGUAGAAAAUUAAUCUUGGUUAAUUGCGCCACACUUCCCAGACUUGGAGUCACAGACUUCAAAGAUAUGAAGGCAAUUUCUGGUCACAUUCGUGAGCUGCUUGAAAUUCUGGACCCCCGUGGGAGCCGAAGCAUUGCAUUGCCCCCCGUGGAACCAAGGCGGUUAUUUUUAGAGGAAAAGAGUCGAACAGGAUCGACAGCUGAUUCUCUUACUUAUAUGCAGUUUUUGAAAGAAAGGGGCUUAGAUGAAUACACUUAAAAUAAAUGAUGUAAUGUUCUUCAUCUAAACUGCUUGUCCUUUUACUAAUUAUGCCUUGUGGUGUUUUUUUAAUUUGCACAAGUGCGACAUAUAUAAUUUGUGUAUACAAUAAUGGUUUCAAAUGAUACCUGAUAUAAAAAAAAACAUAAUUUGCCAUCUUUAUUUUUGUAA